rnacentral:tRNA from 1 species
GCCCCGUAGUAUAUCUUACGCUAGAGUGCAAAUCUAGAGACGAACCCUAAAGGUGUUCCAGGGCU